UUGGUGCCGUUGCCUGCCGUUCUUUAUGUCAAUUCCAGGGAAACAGGGAAGGCCGUGCAAACCGGCCACAGUUGCGCUGCGGUAACGCAUCACAGACCCAUACCGGCGGACAGGAGCCGGGCAAAGCCAAUCGGGCAACCGGUGAAGGCGAGGGGCGAGGACGCGCCGAUGGCGCGCAAAGGCCAAAUCCCAAAACGCCAAAUCCCAAAAAGGUCCACGGCUUCCAGUCGCUGCCGACCGUUUGGAGUUUGGAAUUUUGGACGUUUGGAGUUUUUUGCGCACAUCGCGCUGACAUGCGGAGUCCGAACAUCUGCCCCCGGAAACUCACCACGC
rnacentral:ncRNA from 14 species